GAUGAACGCUGGCGGCGUGCUUAACACAUGCAAGUCGAACGGAAAGGCUCCUGCUUGCAGGGGUACUCGAGUGGCGAACGGGUGAGUAACACGUGGGUGAUCUGCCCUGCACUUCGGGAUAAGCCUGGGAAACUGGGUCUAAUACCGGAUAGGACCACAUUUUGGAUGGUGUGGUGGAAAGUUUUUCGGUGUGGGAUGAGCUCGCGGCCUAUCAGCUUGUUGGUGGGGUAAUGGCCUACCAAGGCGUCGACGGGUAGCCGGCCUGAGAGGGUGUACGGCCACAUUGGGACUGAGAUACGGCCCAGACUCCUACGGGAGGCAGCAGUGGGGAAUAUUGCACAAUGGGCGCAAGCCUGAUGCAGCGACGCCGCGUGGGGGAUGACGGCCUUCGGGUUGUAAACUCCUUUCGCUAGGGACGAAGCGCAAGUGGCGGUACCUGGAGAAGAAGCACCGGCUAACUACGU
rnacentral:rRNA from 1 species